rnacentral:lncRNA from 1 species
UUCAUCACCCAACUUUCACAAUACUUUCCAAAUAUGACUGCUGCAACCGAACAAAGCAUGUCCAUAUUAUGUUGUUGAUGCAUAACCAAAUUCCUCAUUGUUUCAUAACUAUUGCCAUCCUCACUAUCACUAUCCGAUGACAUCUGCCAUAUCAAACAAUAGUUAGCAUCAAGAUAAUAAUAGGUUCACCAACAUAGGCAUUAAAUAUUAUUCCAAUAGCACAAGAUAGUAAUAGGUUCACCAACAUAGGCAUAAAUAUUGUUCUCAUAGCACAACAUAAUAAAAGGUUCACCAACAAAGGCAUAAAUAUUGUUCUCAUAACACAAGAUAAUAAAAGGUUCACCAACAAAGGCAUAAAUAUUGUUCUCAUAGCACAACAUAAUAAAAGGUUCACCAACAAAGGCAUAAAUAUUGUUCUCAUAGCACAACAUAAUAAUAGGUUCACCAACAUAGGCAUAAAUAUUGUUCCCAUCGCUCCAAGAUAAUAAAAGGUUCACCAACAAAGGCAUAAAUAUUGUUCUCAUAGCACAACAUAAUAAUAGGUUCACCAACAUAGGCAUAAAUAUUGUUCCCAUCGCCCAAGAUAAGAUGUAACGAACUAGUUGCCAUACUUGAGGUCAAACCUCCUACGCAACCAACCCAUUCUAGAGUCGGAUGUCAUGUGCAAGAACAUUUCCCUUCGCUCUUUCUUCAGAAAGAGCUCAGUAGCAAUGAAGUGCUCAUCAGUGCCAUCUAUUGCGCCACAAGCACGAACUAAAUCCAUGGUAGAUGCAACAGAGGUGGUCUCAUCUUUCUGUAGGAAAGACUAAAAUGAUGUAUGCGAAGCAUGUGCAAUGGAACUAAUCUUUUUUAUCUCCUCUUGCAUCACUUGUGCAGUCUUUGGUUUCUUGUUCUUCUCCGGAAUCUUGACCCCAAGCCUCACUUUAGAUGCACUAGCUAUUGUCGGAGAUGCUUGCUCUUCGGUAUCAUCCUCCAAAUCAAGAUCGGUGAUUUCAUCAACAUUCAANNNN